UAGAUCUUUGAGAGGUUCCAUAGUUGGAGAUUGAGGUUGGAGCUGUCGAGUUGGUGGAGGUUUCCGAUUAUGGGAAGUGGUUUAGGACCUGGUGGUAGAGUGGUUCUUUUGUGUUGUUGUUUCUUUAAGUGAUGAAAUAUCACUACUGCCAUUAGAGGAAUUGCAAGAAGAAGCAGAUAAUACAGAAAUGAAAACAUUGAGUGGAAGAAAUUGAAGAAGCCAAUGCAAGCUAAGGUAUGAUAUUUGAUAUGAUAUGAAGCAGCCGAAGAAAAUUCAUAGUCCAAACGGAAGUGCAGUAUAUAUUUUUUAUGUUGUAUAUUCUGGAAAAUCAGCAGAGAAUUAAAACUUUAUAUUAAAUUAAUGUACUAGCAAGAGAUGAUAUAAGACCAAAUGCUCUGAAUAAGAAGACAAUUCCAAGUCGAAAGAGUUGUUACAAUUUAUAUAUGAAGGCUGGUGUAUGUGUAGCAAUUGAAGAGUA